CGCGUAGUAGCUCAGUGGUAGAGCGUCCGGUUGUGGCCCGGAAUACUUGGGUUCGAUUCCCGGCUAUCGCCACCA
rnacentral:tRNA from 2 species